rnacentral:tRNA from 1 species
GGAGAGGUGGCUGAGUGGUCUAAAGCGGCAGAUUGCUAAUUUGUUGUACAAUUUGUAUUGUACCGAGGGUUCGAAUCCCUUCCUCUCCU